GCCUACGGGAGGCAGCAGUGAGGAAUAUUGGUCAAUGGCCGAGAGGCUGAACCAGCCAAGUCGCGUGAGGGAUGACGGCCCUACGGGUUGUAAACCUCUUUUGUCGGGGAGCAAGACCCGCCUCGUGCAGGCGGAGCGAGAGUACCCGAAGAAAAAGCAUCGGCUAACUCCGUGCCAGCAGCCGCGGUAAUACGUAUGGUGCAAGCGUUAUCCGGAUUUACUGGGUGUAAAGGGAGCGCAGGCGGCGCGUUAAGCUUGGUGUGAAAGCCCGCGGCCCAACCGCGGGACUGCAUUGGGAACUGGCG
rnacentral:rRNA from 1 species